CCCUAUACAAAAACAAUGAUAUUAUGUGAAACACAAGCCGUGCUAGGCCAAUGAGCCAAAAUCCCACUUUUAUCCUCUUACAGAAAUGUUUGCCAACAAUCCAUAGACAUCUACCAUUUCCUAGUGCAUAUCCUAAAUUUUCCCUCUUCCAGGGCUACUAUUUUAGCCAAAAAAAAAAAAAAAAAAACCAACACUGCCUGGGGCUCCCCCCCAACAACAGAAGAACAACCAGAGACCUCUGAAAAGAUAAAACAAAUCAUCUGACCUACCUCUACUGUGCUAAUUAAUUAUAAGGAUUAAUUUUCCUUUGGAUGUAUUUCCCAUGGGUUAAAAAAAAAAAGGUUUUAAAAUCUUACAUCAUAUUAGUACAAUUGCUAGAGAAAUCUAGAUUUCAUUCCUAAACCCGUUAAACAUACUUUCUUUAUUUUUAUCAUCUAAUUUCAUUAGAGACUAAUUUAUCUAUCUAAAUAAUACUGUGCCAUACUUACCUUAUUCUUCUAGUCUAUAAUAAUAGUUGAAUUUUCAAAAAAAGGAACCAUUGAAGGGGAUUAAGUACUGUGGUCCUCUCCCUUUCCAUGAAGCUAAGUGAAGGCAAGCUAAUGUGUUUUUUUCCCCCUUCUUCUUCCUAUUGAAUCAGAGCAUCCUGGCAUUUUGUUGAAAAGAAAUACCGUAGGAGACACUGUUGAGACGUGAUAAGUUUGAGGAUACAGUCUCCCCUUAGGAAUGUAUUUCUGUUAUGGUUUUGCUUUUGCUUUUGCUGUCAACUCUUGUUGUUUUUUUUAAUUUGUUUUUUGUUGUUUGACUCACAGUGAUGUUGCAUUAAUUUCAGGUAUACACCAAAGUGAAUCAGUCACACAUACGGACAUAUAUAUACACUGUAUAUCCACUUUUUUUCCCCAUGUAGGUUAUCAUAAACUAUUGAGUUUAUCAUAAACUAUUGAGUAGAUUUCCCUGUGCUCGACAGCAGGAUCUUGUUAAUUAUCUCUUUUAUACAGUCGUAUUUUAUACAGUCAUAUAUUAUACAGUCAUAUUUUAUAUAGUCGUGUGUCUGUUAUUGCUGGUCUCCCAGUUCUUGCCUCCCCCACUUGUAUUUUAAAGACUUUUGUUCAGGUUUAUCGGCAUCAUUUCUUCCUCGGUACAUUGCAUAUUUGUAUAUUGUCCUUAACCCUAUCUUGGAUUAUAAAUCUUGUGUAUUCGUUGAGAGGUUCUUCGUAUUUCUGAAUAGCAACAUUUGGCCCCAUAGCAUUUCAAUUAUCAUCUCGUCUGUGAAUUGCCCUUUUUAAAAAAGUGUUUGUGAAGGAACCCAAGUUUUCUUUUAAUACAAUGACAUUAAAUUAAAAAAAAAAAAACUAUCGAUAUAUUCUCUCUGGGUAACGAUGUGUUUUCUUUCCAUACUUUUCUCCUGUGCUUCUGGGCACUGGGCUGAGGUUCUCCAGACCAAGGAAGCCGUGAUCGAGCCCUGUCCUGAAACUGCCAGGAAGCGUGUAGAACAACUUUCCAAGGGUCCCCCCACCUGCUGUUCCCAAGCCUCCCCAGGCAGAAACGUGGGCUUGGCAGUGGGGGAGGGAGCGGGACGCUUAACGACACUCCAUUCUGGCUGGAGUUUUGGACAUUACUCUGAUUCACUUGGGUGCAUUCAGCUAUGCUGUGCACAUCCCCUCAGCAGGAAAAUGACCAACAUGGGCAGAAAGAGUUACUAGAAAGCAAUAUGUCACAUGGACUUUAAUUUAAAAUCACAGCGUGUCAGAUUUCAACUGCAGAAGGUGGAACCAUUCUGUAGCGUCCACUUCUCCAACCCAUCAGCUGGUCUGAGGUAUGGUGAUUACCUAGCUUUUGACAGAUUUAUUUUACUGCAUUCACUGGGGACUUCCUAUCUCUAUUAAUGACACUGGAUUUUUCUUCCAGAGAAAUGUCAAGUUUUAAAACACAAGGGAGGAGUUCCCGUCAUGGCUUAGCAGUGAACGAACCCGACUAGCAUCCAUGAGGAUUUGGGUUCGGUCCCAGGCCUCGCUCAGUGGGUUAAGGAUCUGGCGUUACUGUGAGCUGUGGUGUAAGUCCCAGAUGUGGCUCGGAUCCUGCACUGCUGUGGCUGUGGCGUGGGCUGGCAGCUACAGGUCCGAUUGGACCUCUACCCUGGGAACCUCCAUAUGCCUUGGGUGUGGCCCUAAAAAGACCAAAAAAAAAAAAAAACAAAAAAAAAAACAUAAAAAAAAAACUCAAGGGAAGUUUAAUAUUCUCUACCACCACCCACUUGUGCACACAGAUAUGCCAGCACUUUGGAGUCAAUGCUGUCUUUGGAGGUUGAUCGCCAAACAAUUUUCUUUUCCCAAACAAUUUUCUAUUUGGCAAAACUCCUCCUGUGAUGGUUAGGAAAACUGAGGCUCACACACUCACUAAAAUUAGAGCGGCUGAAUAUACAUAAAAAGUCCUGCUCCCAAAUUCCCAAACAAGUGCUCCACCUACCAUCCUCCGUUUUCACUGCAAAUAGGUGGGUCUGGGGAGUCCUUGUUGUUAAAAACCACAAAUAAAAUCUCAAUCUUAUUAACUCGUGUUAUAAAUAUCCUGCAUUAUCAUUAUAUUGGAAAGGAGAGCCAGACCCUAUCCCGACAUGAAUACUUUUGUGGGAAACAACUGUUUGUGGGAAACAUUUUAAUGGACAGAGGCUUUAUCUAAUAGUCUCGUUUCCCUCUCAGCCAUCUUUGAUAGGAUGAUGAAGUCAAUUUUUAGUCACUUGUCCCACUGCUAGUUCUACUAAUUAAGGAAAUUUAAGAAUAGCAGGAGCUUAAAAGGGAGUGGCAGAAGAGGCAACGUGUUCUCAAUUUUUUUAAAAAAUGUAAUUUUUGUAAUGAGACUUUCCCAGUGCAGUGUCUUGGUCGGUAGCCCCUGACAGCUACUCUUCAAUUCCAUUUUAACCUGAUCAUAGUCUCAUGCUUUUCAACGUAUUUUAAGCCCACCCCAAGUAUCCGGCAAGCACUGAAGCCAUCUAUGAAGACCAGGGCAUUAUGGAAUGCAUUGGGCUGGGAACACAAGCAGAACCGAUUUGAGACAGCAAAGGUUUCAAUGGAGCCAUCAAAGCCCAGGAUAUUGGAGUCAAUGGUCAAUUGAAACCUUCUUACAGAAUUCUCCCCUUGAAAGGUGGUCUCGUCAUCCUUUUUCAUACACACCUGAAUGGGAUUUGCAUGGUGUGUGAAAAUAAAGCAAUGCAAAGACACAUGGAAAAAUCUAAGAAGGUAACUGGAAACAUCCCCCUUCCUUGCAUUAAAAGAUUAUUAUAAAUCUCCAAACUCUCGCUUUCUAUUUAUUUACAAUACAUGUAGAGUAUCACUUGAAUAUAUGUUAUAAAUGAAUUCCCUAAUUUGUUUCGUGAUUUCCUCUUUUUUUUUCCCACACAUUUCUCUUUUCAUCACUCAAAGUUAUCCUGGCAUAUACGAAUUUAGGGAGGGAGAAAAGCGUGCCCUUCUGUAGUAAAUGACGAUCUUUCUUUGUUUCCCAGCCCCAGCCUUUUCACCUACACACCACCCGGUGCCCUGUGGAGCACAACCGGACAGCUCUCACUGUUAGAUGCCAGAGGGAUGGUGGUAGCCAAAAGCCCCGGGCUCACAGGCUAAAACUUGCAUGCUUGGCAAGGCUCAGAUGCCAUGGUUUGUAUCUCUAAUAAACUACUCACUGCCUCUCCAGUAAUGAUACCCUGGGGCUGCUGGGAGGGGAUUCUUUUUAUAGAAAACAUACUCAUAAGGAUUUAAUAUUAUCUCUCUGAACCCUUUGAUUUAAUAGAGGUUUUUUUUUUUUUUUUUUUUUUUUUUUUAAACUUUCCCCUUCAUUUUGUAGACCCUGUGAUGUGAGCCAGUGUUAAUUCUUUAUGCAGCAGUGGCAUGUAAUCAACAUCCCUCUACUGAGCUCAAGAUUCUUUAUCCUUUUUAACCAUGUGCUUAAAAAAAAUUAGAAUAUCUUGCCACUGAAUGCCUUUUUACAGACUGAAAAGACUUUUAGGUUCAACAACAUUUGUUAGGUUUUGAUGCAAUCAAAUGCAAUUUCAAUCUUCUUGAAAGAUGCAGCCCUGCCUCUCGAAAAUUGCACAUAUGUGUCAGCUUUCAAUUUUUCUCACUGGUGUUUUACACAUGAAGUCUAUUUUCCCCGAGAAAAUGGAAUCUUUGUGUCUUUGUUUCUGGGCGCGCGGCUCUCAGGCAUGUUCUGGUAAGGGGCUUUGACUGUCGAGGCUCUGGGGGAGGGGCCUGGCAGUCAUUUGUCAGCUUUUCUUGCAUCUGUAAUUUCUGGCCACUCAGCAGUAUUAGGGGGUCUCAGAAAGGGGGCGAGGCGGGUGCGUGGAGAGCUUGUCAUUGAUGAAAGCCAAACUCUGCGUAACUGCCGGAAUUAACGACCAAAGAGAGAGAGAGAGACAAGUCCAAAGAACUUUUAUUGUGCUUUAAUGAAAACGAUUUUUUUUUUGGAAAUGGCUAAUUGACACAAUUGCACAUGGUAACAUUUUUCAGAUCUCAGUUGAGAAAGCCCCUGUCCCUAUUACGUUACCGAUUUCAUUGCUUUUAGCUUGGCACUGGCUCAUGAAAUUAUUUAAAUUUUCCACCAGCGGCUUCUGGUUAUUUCUGCCCUUAUGUCCCUGUAACAUAACUGACAGCCCAAUUAAACAUCUGCAUUUUUUAAAUCUGGAUUCCCCCCCCCCAUAAGUCUUUUACUUUUCUUCUAAAACUUCCAGAUGUUUUGGCUCCUUUAGGAUUUGAAUGCCUGCAAGUGUACUUGCUCCUAUUUCAAAGACAGAGAGCUAGAUGGGCUGGCCAGACGUUUCUAUAGGAAAAGCUUUGUAAUACACGCCUAAUCAGGUCAGUACUUUUGUCUCUUUAUAGGGGCACUUAUGUUAGAACAUAUCUUACUGUCUUCCAGCUCUUUCCUAUUUGAGCUGAUCUUGGAAACACUUUUGUGAGCGAUUAGAGUUAAGGAUUCCUGCUGUGAUCCGUUAAUUAAUUGUUACAGCCGAUGAAGAAAGCAUCCUAUUUGUUAUUUCUGUGUCUAGAGAUGAGGAUAGAAGAUGCUGUGAUUUGUUUUUUCUUUUCUUUUCUUCCUUUUCUUUCUUUCUUCCUUUUUCUUUCUUUCUUUCUUUCUUUCUUUCUUUCUUUCUUUCUUUCUUUCUUUCUUUCUUCCUUUCUCUCUCUCUCUCUCUCUCUUCCUUCCUUCCUUUCUUUCUUUCUUUCUUUCCUUCUUUCCUUCUUUCCUUCCUUCUUUCUUUCUUCUUUUUUCUUCCCCUCCAAGAGAUAAGUUAUAAGCUAUGCAAGGCAACAAUGUAUUUUAACUGAGUUUCCGGCUCUGUACAAACAUUAAAGGAAUCACCAGUAUCUUCCAGUAUCUUGCCUUGUCUGGACAAGAGUUAAAAGCGUCUGUAAUACACUUCAAGAAGAACGCUUUCCCAUAAUUAAUAACAGGAAGCCGGGUAAACAGACAUUUGCUGACAAAUGAAACCGAAACAGUAACAUAUACACAACAAUGUGGGAAAUGAAACAACCGGCAGCAGCUCGGUAUGGUUACACCCCAGAGCAGCUCAGAGGCAGUGGGUUUAAGCAACAGUCUCAUGGUCCAGAGUAAAUGAUCAUCUACUUCACAUUUCCAGGUGAUUUCUGACCAUUUAAACACAUGCUCGUAGAGUGUCCUCGUUUCUCCCACAGUUAGUAUUUGGAAGAGAUCUCAGGCUAUUUAUACUCUUAAAGUUUAGGCAGAAAAUUAUUAUUUCCUGGAAUAUAGACUUUUCAGACAAUCCAGUAAACCUGAAGGAAGACAAUCUUUUCUUUUUCGAAACAUGAUGAUGAGAUUUUUUUUUAAAGCUCAUUCCUGCUACACACUUCUGGAAAAGGGACCACCUAAUGGGAUAUCUUGGUAUAUGUAAGGUUGCUUUAUUUUGGGGCGGGGGGGGGAUGCGAGUAUUCAUGAGGUCUCAGGUAAACUAAAGGCAACCGUCAUUAAUUGGACGAACCUAAAGGAUCACUAGGCAGCUGGGUCCAGUUGUGCUGACAGCUCCAGACCAAGCUGCCCAUGGACGUAAAGCAUCUUUAUCUACCACUUGUAUCAUAGAGUGGGAACGGUCUCAGCUCAGUACUAACCUUGAAAGCCAGCAAACUGAUGUAAUAUAUGGUUCCCCUGCUUCUUAGAAACAGGGAGCUUGAUUUGAAUUUGCUUUUGUGUUUUGUUUUUUUUUUUAAACAGAGUGAGCCCGUUCAUGUACAGUUUUAGGAAUGAGUCGCUUGAUCCUUUAAGUGAAAUAUUUUUUUACUACGACUCUCUUAGAACUGUUAGAUGUAAAAUUAAUCUCCAUCAAAUAUUUAUUUCUGGUUUUGUGGGAUGAAUAGGAGAAUGAGGGGUGAGGGCAGAAGUGAAGUGAAGAAAUAUGAAGUGAUGCACAUAUUGCAAAUUAAAGGGUGCAUUUUGAAUAUUCUAGUGUAAUAAAAAGAAACCUAAACUGUGUCAUAUAGACAGAAUUUUGUACCUUCCUGAUAAGCUCCCAGUAAGUUAACAUUAGAAAAAUGCAGUAUCCUGAGUAUCAGAAUCAGAGAAUUUUGCACCCAGGCAACUGAGCUCAACAUUGAAAGCCAUUUUUUUUUUCCUUACCUAAAUCUGCACUAGAUAUAAAUUUAAGGCAGAGACAUUAUACUCAGAGCUGAUUAGGUCCAAUUAAAAGUAAAUGUAAAAUAUUUCAUGUUUUCAUGGAUGAAGACAAGUCAAUGGGAUACACUUUAUCUCCAGAAUCUUCUAUUUGUUGUGGAGUUUGGAACCCAUCAAAUGAAUAACUUCAAUUUAAAGAAACAACUGAGUUGGAGUGAAGCUUUGUUAAUUGUAAGCAAAACAUAAGACAUUUUCUAAGCUGCAAAAAUCUAACGAGUUUGUAGAUGAGAAAGAAAUUAUGUAAAGGUUUAAAGUGACUAAAUUUAAAGUAUACUUACUUAUUUGGAUGUUUGUUAAGUAUAGAAUGGACUAUAUAGGUAUUGAAUGUAAGGACUAUACUAGCUAUUCAGAAUAUUUUUGUAAGAAAAAACAUAAGUUAAUGAAUCCUCGAUGACAAGAAAAAAGUCAUUCCUAUUUGUCAUAUCCUUAUAGAAAGAAAAGGAAAAGUCUAGCAGGUUUGGUACUAGGAUUACUCAAUUUGCAAAUCGAUGCUUUGGAAAUAGAAAAUAUUUUUCCAAAAAAUUUUAGAUGAAGAUCUUCUUGGAAGACUUUCAAGUCUAAGCUGUAAACGUUUAACUAUUAACCAUCAAUUUUCACUGUAUUGAACAAUUAUGAUACAUUUAAAAAAUGAUCAUUUUUACAGGUAGACUCAUUCCUUUUUUUUUUUUUUUUUUUUGUCUUUAGUCUUUUUAGGGCUGCACCUGCAGCAUAUGGAGGUUCCCAGGUUAGGGGUCUAAUCGAAGCUGUAGCUGCCAGCCUACACCACAGCCACAGCAACACCAAAUUCAAGCCCCGUCUCGAAACUACACCACAGCUCACAGCAACGCCAGAUCCUUAACCCACUGAGCGAGGCCAGGGAUCGAACCCAUAACCUCAUGGUCCCAACCCACAACCUCAUGGUUCCUAGUCAGAUUCAAUUUGGCUGUGCCACAACAGGACCUCCCAGGUAGUCUCAUUCUUGCACACUCCUGUCAUGAUAGUUAAAGUUGUUCUUAGAAACGUUUGGUCAUAAAGAUCGUGUAGCUGAUAUGGGUUAUGUUGUGUAACCCAGAGCCAUCAAACACCUGGUACACUCAUUCUCCAGGUAGAUUCCAGUGAACAGAAUUUUCCCCCCUCCUCUCUUUGACUCCAUCAGAGCUCUGUUUUCUCUCCUGAUGGAGAAAAUUAGGUGUAUUUAUUAAGAACAAUGAGCUCUUCUCAGAAUUGCCACAGAGUGAGUAAAUCCGCUUGCUUGUGUAGGACACUAACUAAAACUUCUUAAAAAUGGGAUCUGGAAGCCAAAAAAAAUUUAUAGAUCUCAGUAUUUAUUUAAUUUAUUAAUCUCAGUAUUUAUACUGAUCUCAGACCAGUAUUUUGGACAAAGAGCUAAAAUACAUAAAGCAAAUUUACAAGUUAAACCUGUGUCAAUUUCCUAAUUGUUUAAUGUCUUCUGUGUUCAUGUGGCUUGUGUCUGUAUGUGAAUUUCACUCUUCCGCUCGCUCAUAUACAUGUACACUUGACAGCUUCUCUGUCACACUGUCUUCUAGUUUGUAUUUGCUUUUUAGGAAUCUGCCUCAGGGAAAACUGAUUAUCUAGUUCCUGACUUCUGCCCUGCCCUCUUUUAUUUUUGUUCAUGUAAGUUUUCAUUUAUCUAUUUAAUCCUUUAAAUUUUUUCUCAAAAAGGUAUCCCAAAGAGAUACAAUAUAUGGAUGUGAAUGGAAACUGGCAAAAUUAUUUAUUGUUUACGUGGUGACUUGUGCUUUCUAAUACUUUUCAUAGUUGCUAUAGUCCACUUGCUACCUUGUGAGUUUCCAAAACAAGCUGGGAAAUGUCUCUUGUGAUUGUCAGGUGUGAGCUGUUGCCUGGGAAAGCACUGGGGGGAUUGGUACAGUUUUUUGAAGAGAAUUUAGCAGUUUCAACACCAGCCUCCUGGCUUCCUGUUAAGCCUCAUUGCUAUGAUCAAACAAAAACCUCUAAGACUAUUCCACACUUCUCAAAACAAGGAAGUUCUUUGAAACUUCAGCUGAGGGUCUGAGGAUCUUUUUGUCUUGAGUUUUUGUGUCCUUUAGUUAUCACAUCUCAAUAUAUUUCCUGUCAUUGUCAUCUUUCCAAACACAGACUUGCAAUACACGCUGAAGCUACUGGUGGAAAACCUAUUAUUUUGUUAAUAAUGAGCAAGCAGCAGAAAUUAUUAAGAUUGGAAAGCAGUUAUUGCAUUAGUAGUACAAAUAUAGGUCAGACCUGUACAGGUAUAAAGCCUAUCAAUACUAGGAACGCUGAUUCUCCUGUAAUAAACACCAGAAAGUGUCUAAGAUAUAAAGAUCAAACUCUUUUUAAAUUUGUUACCUUCUACUAAGAGCAAAAAGAGGGAUUAUCACUAUCAUCCAAUUAGUAUUCUUCUUUCCUGUCCCACCAGUCAUAUGUCUUCCUCCUUCAAAGGAAACCAAAUUUGCUUUGCUGGAGGGGAAAUUAUGUUUAUAAAUUUUUAUUUUAGAAAGUAAAAGCAUCAAGUUUGUCUUGAUGGUUUAACGGGUCGAGUCGACUUCUUCCCUAGUACUGUCAGAAGCUGCUUUAGUUUUACUAAAAGCCAAAAUCUGUGGCUAUUUAAGAAUAAAAGUAAAUUUUAAGUAGGAAUGACAUUUUUAAAUGAAAGUCUAUUCAAGAAUAAAAGUAAUUUUUAAGUAGGCGUGACAUUUUUAAAUGAAAGUCUGUUAUUCAAAUGAAAACUUUGAAUGAUGUCACUUAAGAGAAUUCCUGACUUUUAAAGAAACAGAGACUAUACGUAAAAGUUGCUUAGAAAAUCUAAGCAGGCAUCGUGAAUUUUGUUGAUGCUUCCAGGUGGGAGACUUACUGAAACUUUAAAAACAUGGUACCUAAAUUCUCCAUGACAGAAACCUAGCACCAUGUGCAGGCAACUUUUAGGAAUGCAUGUUGUUCAACUUUUCUUUUCCAGUCUGCAUGAGAUACAAUGUCCCUAAAAUUGUCCGCUCGCUUUUACUGAUGUGAGACAGAUAAGCAUGUCAAAUUGCACAGGGAGAAGGAGGCACAGAUCAGCUCUGUGUCCUUGCUAUUUCUUCGUUCCCUGAAUACGUGUCUAUUGCUACUGUAAGCAGGGUGUGUGCCCUUUUCAUUUGGCAGAAAGGAUAGCUUCAUUGGCAUCUGCAUUUCAUAGGAUGGGAAUACAAUCAAUAGCCAUUUAUACAUCUGGGGAAAAUAGAUUGGGUAGGAAAACCAUAGAUUAUUUCUUUUCUUUUUGGUGUGUUUGGCACUUUCUCUUUAAAUUCAGUAGCAGCAAAGAGUCAUCAAGCCAAGCUUAGUACACGGGCUUAAAUAAUAAUCUCAUAAAAUAAAAAAAUUCUUGCUUUAUCAAUGUUUACUAAACAAAAUCGUUCUACAUUUAUUUUCCUUUCAGCAUAGUAUAUGAUUUUAGUUGUAUAGAAGGCAGCAAUGUAUUUUUAAUAAUGAACUCUUACCAAGGUAACACUGUGCACAUUAUGAAACUUCUUGUCGUUCUCUUAUUAAAAGAGGACUUUAUUAUUUUUUUAUCCUAUCACUAAAUUUCUACAUAUAAUUUCAAGAGGAAUGAUUUGAGUAUGGCGUUAAAGCUCCAGGAGAAAGUAUUUCUAAUAUGAAUUAUUAGUUUCAUAAACUUAAAUAUUUGAGAUAUUUGUGGUUUUGAGUGGCAAUGUACUUUUUUUUUUUUUUUUUUUGCUAAAGGGAUUAGAAAUUUUUGGACCCUAGAACCUAAAAAAAAUGACCCAAAUAACUGUGUCAUUGUACUCACUCAUCAUCUUUAGUGUAUGCAUUGAAAACAGAACAGAGCCAUGUCAAAGAGGAGACAUGGAGGGUAAUGCACUCUGAUUUCUCCUCUUACAUAACCCUUUGAAAACAACGAAACUAUGCAGUCAGGGUUGAAGCACGCUUGACUUUCAGACAAUCCAAUUUACCAAAAAGUGGAUUUGAGCCUCAGUGUCUCUGACAGGGUGAAGUAUUCCAUCUCACGUACACGGAAUCUGCACACAUCCAUUCUCGCCUCUCCUGAGACAAAGAAAAUCACCUGUUCCCCUUAACAUCUGUAUAGGAAUAUGGAAGAGUUGCCCUAGAAGGGGCCGUAGACACCGUCUAACCAAUGAGACUAUUUCCAACACAUAUGCAGAGAAUGCCCUUGGUGCCUAUACUUAGUCAGAAGCUGCCCCUUUUCUUAUUUUAAUAUAACCUUACUCCAGUAAACAUGCAUGGCAUGAAUAACUCUGGCCAGAAGACAGUCGCCGUUUCCUACUUCUUCUACGCUUCCGUCUCCCAUUCUUACAUCUGCAAAUUCUCCCACCCUCAAGGAUUAGCACAAAUGCCAAGGAAUGAAAUGAAAAGAGAAACCCCAAAGGAAAAAUACUUUAAAAGAGAUGACAGGACUCAUCUUUGAUGGAAGAGAAAGACGGUUGAACAUUGGGACACUUGAGAAAGUGUUCAUGUCUGAUUUUUCUUCUAAAAGGGAUACAUUGGUAGACAUCAUUGAGUAUCAUGAUUUGGACCCCUCAUCCUAGUGGCAGGCUUGUCCUCUGAUCACGUAACCUCAAGGCUUAGCCUGGGCUCGGGUCCUCAGAGAGCAGGGGCUGCGUCCAUCUCUAAGUUAUGCUUCCUGCCUCUUGGCCACAACAUCCAUCAUAGAGACCAACCACAGAUGCACAGGGCAUUCAAUUCAAUUUCAACUUCCAGAGGAUGGGGAUGGGGACGAGAAGGAAAGAAAUUCUUGACUCGAGACGCUGCUGAGGGUUUUUGUUUUUGUUUUUGUUGUUUUUGUUUUGAGUCAGGUGUGGGUCUAGGAGAAAGAUGCAGAACAAAGUCUCAUGGAGGAAAAAUGACUCACAAGUAUGUGAGGGGGAAGACUUUUAAUGUCGAUGCCCAUAUUUCUUGAUUAAAAUGUAGGUAUUUGCAUCAUACAGUAGCAUACUAUAUAUACUAGCAGCCAAGACUCUCUAAGAAUAGUUAAAUUCCUCUUCCAGAACAGGAAGGAAAGAACUGGUUGGAACCCUAAUGGUGUAAGAAAAAGUACUGUCUCGUACAAGUACUGUCAUUACCAAAAACAAAUAACAAAAGCCAUAACCCCUGUUAGCUGACUGGUUAAUGCCUUAGAAUCAACGCAUGGGUUAUCGAGAAAUAUGGUCACUGGCUUAUAUUUCAGAAUGAAGAAAUAUGUGAAUAGCCAGGACUAGGAACAACUCUUAGAAAUAGUUUGUUACUUUUGAUUUGCACGUCUCUAAUAAUUAGUGAUGUUGAGCAUUUUUCUCAUGUGCCUGUGGGCCAUCUGUAUAUCUUCUUUCUCGCUAGCAUCAUUUUUACUUUUUGAAUAUAAAUGCUGUCCUAUUUUUGCAAACACAUGUUUAUAUUUCUUCAUUGUAAAAAUUAUAAACUUUACAAUCAAAAAAAGAAAUAGUUUGUUCAAUGGCAUUUUCAGGUAGGUUUUUUUUUUUAAUAACAUCUACAUUUUAAACAUAGAUAAAUAAAAACAAGGCAACAUAGAAAAUAACAACCGAAUAUUAGCACCCUUUCACAGUGUGCUUACUAAAAUACUUAUGAAUUAUUGAAUUAUUGUUUGGGGCCUACGGAAUUCAAAGCAUUGCUGAAAACUAGUAUGCUAAUCUUUUGAAAACAAGAUGCUAGUGAUUGCUUAUGAAGCUAACGAUUUAGUCAAUAUUUGGUUUUCCCCCUAAUACUAAAAAGUUUACUUAUGGCCUUUUCGAUCAAAACGUCUCUUAGGUAAGCAGAAGAAAACUGGGAACAGCUGACAUUUAGUAGCUUUGGGGUCCAAGGAUCUGGCUUGACUUCUGACACAGAAGCAUGUCACCCAGGCGUCUCUGAGGACUGGGCUUAAUCCUUAAGGAUGAGGUCCAUGGAGAGUAAGGGGGAGAAUGAUGGCCCAGAUAAAUUUGAUGUGGUGGGGUCCCCUUAGGAAAGAGGCUUUGCUUUCAUCUAUAUCUGGGGUAGAGUCCUACUGAGUAAAAGCCUUAAAGAAUAAUGUGACCUUGGUUCUAACAAAAUGUAUCCAGAAGCAGUCCACCGCUGCCAUCCAGACACCAGACACCGGCUGCUGCACUGUCCCAACCGGCCGCCAAGCUCCAUCCCUACUCAUGAACCCCAUCCCAGCCUGCCUAGCCUGCCCUGCUCUUUACACAGAGGCCAGAGCAACCCUUUUAAAGCCAGAGACAAAUCGCAUCAAGCCCCCUGUGCAAACUCUCCAAGAGAUUCCCGUCUUGCACAGAAACAAAUCCCAAACUUUAACCAUGUCCUGCAAGGGCCCUGCGGGUCUGCUCAGCUUAGCCCAUGUCCCUAGCUCCUGCCACCCUUCCGGGUUGAUGCUGCUUCGACCAGACCCCUCCCCCACCUCCUUACUCUUCCUCAACACCCCAGGGACUACCGUGCCUCAGGACAUUUGCAUGUACCGUGCCCUAAUCUGGAGGGUACUUUGGUUAUUUCUAUUGCUCUCACCAAAAUGUCAUCCCAGGCUCAGCUCAAAGGCUCCCCGUCAUAGAGGUCUUUCCUGCCAGCCUGCUGUAAAAUCCCACAGCCCCCUUAUCAGCACCUGACUGAUUUUACAGGUAUUGACUGUGAGCGGGGAAUUCGUUUACCAUCCUUCCCUCGGCAAUCAGAAGAGUGCUGGACUUAAAGGUGUUUGAUAAAUAUUUGUUGAACAAAUGAGUGAAUGAGUGGAGAGCAAUCAGUCUCAGUGUGAUAUAUACGCCAUAACAUCUUUCAGGUUUGCAUUUAUUUCUUGCCUCCCAGAGUCUGCUCUUCUCCUAACCUGAAAAUGAUUAUUCUGUUGUAUGUAACCUUGCUUCUCAAAGUUUUCUUUUUUCUCUUUUCUUUUUUUUUUUUUUUUUGUCCAUCCCCUCAGCACAUAGAAGUUCCCGGGCCAGGGAUCGAACCCAUGCUACGGCAGUGACAACACAGGAUCCCUAACCUGUUUAGCCAUUAAGGAACUCCUCAAGGUUAUUCUUUGAUGGGCUCUUUAUCUGUAGUCUUUCAUGAUUAAUAUUUAGGGCAUACUCACAUUCAAAGGUUUAGUAUUCGGCUCAUAAAGACAAUUGGGACGGCAUGAUUAUUACAACUUAGGGAAAAUUUAGUACUCUGAAAAUGGUUCGAGCUAUUUCAGUUUUAGAACCAGCUCUUGGGUUUCUGCAGGUUUUUUUUCCUCGGUUCUUAGCCAUUCAUUCAGUAUUUCAACACAGAGUCACUUUGCACCUAUGAGGGUAGGAGCAUCUGUUGAGUGAUUGGGGUCCUGCUUUCAAGGACUGGUCAUCUACAGAUGGAAAGACAACAAUACAAGGGGCAAAGUGCCUAGUGCCCUGAAGAGGUAGAGCUAGAAGGUUAUUUGAGCUUCAAGAAGAGACUAAAUCCAGCAGUGAUGGGGAGGUUGCUUGGAAAAGAGGGCAUUUGAGUUAGGCUACUUUUGGACAGCCAGAGAAGAGGGAGGAAAAAUCAUUUCAAUAGGAGGAAACAGCAUAAGCAAACUAGGAGAUAUAUGGAAAACAAAACAAUAGGCUCACAUAAUAAUGGGAAAUCUUGGGCUCUGGCUGUUUAUACAAUUAAAUUCUCUGUAUAAGAGAAUGCUUGCUCUAAUGUACAGCAUGGCCUCCAUGUGAGUGCAGUUGUAUGUACCCUUGACAUAUGCAUUUCAAAAGGCAAAAAAAAAAAAAAAUUUACAAAGUCUCCUGGUAAAACAUACAACAAGAAAGAGUUCUCAAUGAUCAAAGUAGAUCAGAACAUUCAAUACAUAGUAACUACACACCAUACCAGGCAACGCUCUCAAAUCUAGCUUUGAGCCUUUGCCAGGAAAAAAAAAAAAUUGUAAAUUUUCAACCAUUCUUUAUAGGCAGUGUUCUUAGGAAAUGGGCUUCAUCCAUUAGAAAACAUUUUGAGGGUGUUACCGUUGUCAGAUUUCUGUUUGCAUGGCAAGGUGCUUGCCUCCCUACCCACCCUGGGAUGGUUUUCAGGCUUUGCAUCCAGUGAAAAUCACGAUGGCCAACUUGCAAGGAAAUCUUAGGGUAAAACUGUUCUUCCAGGUCUAUGUUUUUCGUGAGAAUCCACAUCUUAUCUCCCAUGUGCUAUCAUGACUUGACGACAACUUCCUCCAGCGCAUUCCUGGCACAUAGACGGCAAAGGAAGGGAACGCUUCUCUCAGUUGGAACAUCAAGCUUUGUGAUUUCCUCACAUCCAAAAGCAUCUUCAUGUCACAUAGUUCCCUUUUCCAAUGAGGGACAUCCACACGCCUGUGCCAAGUGGAUUUUGAGAUGGCCAAGCAGCGCCAUGGGGUACCGGGAGCCCCAGGCAGCAGCCACCCUCAGAGACGGCACCCUCUGGGGACUGACCACCUGCAUUGUCCCUCGCGUGGGCUGCCUUUGCUUUAGACUCUUCCAACCUUAAAAUACUACCUACCCUGAAACCACACUGCCCUAGGCUCCCAGGGUGUCAAUAAGAAGCAAGACUGGAAGGAAAAUGCAGAGCGGCUUGUUUCUAGUAUGUUGUGAGAAGAAGUAUCCGUUUGGGGAAAACCCAAGUUCUAUUUCACGCCUGGAUCAUUAUUUCAUUUUUGGCCGUUACAAGGUUACCUCAUCUGAACUGAGGUCUAACUGAGUUACCCUCCUCCCAAUGCAAAUCUGACCCUGUCAUCUGUCCCUUCCUUUGUCAUCCUUCAGUGACUGCCGAUUGCCUGAUAUGGAACAAACACUAUUCUGUGUGUUAAUGGACCAUGUGAUUAGGAGCAAGCUCAGUCGGAUUCCCGGAAUCAAGGGCUCCACAGGCACGGACUGAGGUUCACUCCGAGAGAGGAAGAGAGAGAGAGAGAGAGCUGAGUGUUGUGUAAAUUUCCUGUCAGCGCAGGAGGUUCUGUGGGGAUUCUGUAGCAGAGGGCUUGGCAUUCUGCAUCUCUGCCCUGGGUCUCCAUCCAGACUGUGGUCCACCCUGAGGAUGGGACGUGCAGCCUCCAUGACUGCAGCUGUGAUGCAUCUUUCUCUCUCCUCUCUCCGUCUCCUCUAUGAUCUUUCUCUUUUCCUUCCUCCCUCUUCCCUUUGUUCCUUCCUCCCUCCUUUCCCUUUCUUUCCUUCUUUCUUUCUUUCUUUCCUUCCUUCCUUCCUUCCUUCCUUCCUUCCUUCCUUCCUUUCUUUCUUUCUUUCUUUCUUUCUUUCUUCCUUUCUUCCUUUCUCGUCCUCCUCUUCCUCCUCCCCUCCUCGUUCUUCUUCUCUCUCUCUGUAUACACACAUGUACAUACAUGUGUGAAUAACACCCCCCCACACACACACACCCCUGUGGCUUUCUCUGGGGAACCCUAACUGACCCAGAAAUGUUGAGUAUCCUAAAGGUGGCUCUCUGAAUGCUGAGCAGCCUCUUCAGGUGCAUUUUGCUCUCUGACUCCAUGGCAAAUCCUGUCUCUCUUAGAGUGGUACCUGAACUAGGUCAGUAGAAAUCUGUCUGCUGUGUCGGCUUCACCUUUGCACUAGAAUUAUUCUACCACGAGGGCGUGGCUAUCCACGGCUGCAUGUAGCAUCUCUAGAACAUCUGUGAGGAAGUUAAAUGUCAGCUUUGAAGGCUAUUUCUGCUUUAAGAGCAGCCGCCCUGCUGGUGGCUGCCUCUGAAGGCAGAGGGUUGGUACCAGCUAAAGGGCUGGAGCAGAAGACGAAGCAGAAGAAACAAGCGGGAAUCCCAGGUUCUCUCAACAUUUCCAGCAAAACCAUCUCUAUUCUCUCUGUCUCUACUCUCUCUUCAUUAGUCCUACGUGGCAGAAUGACCUGGCUGGAGGUGUAUUCUUCUUGUGAUUACGAUGAAGGACUUUCAUACAUUUGGAGAAGACUUUUAUCCAAUAUGAAUCUCAGGCCACAAAAAGUUCAUGUGACAGACUGUCGAGGAGGUUUCAGAAGGAGCCUCGGUGGGAAUGUUGGAUGGAAUGUUAUUAAGAGGAUGCGCUUAACAGGAUGGGCCGCUCCCGAGGCUUAUGGAGAUUCCCAGGCUGUAGCCACCGGCCUGCACCACAGCCACAGCAACAUGGGAUCCGAGCUGCAUCUGCGACCUACACCACAGCUCAUGGCCACGCCGGAUCCCUAACCCACUGAGCAAGGCCAGGGAUGGAACCCGCAACCUCAUGGUUCCCAGUCGGAUUUGUUAACCCCUGCGCCACGAUGGGGACUCCGUGUGGACAUUAAUUUAGAUAAAACUCAAAGACGGGACAUCUUUCACCUUAAAGCUACCUUUGCUUCUUUGUCUACUCUUUGUUCUGCUUUUAUUUCUUUUGCACACAUCUUUAUGAGAAGGACUUCUUCUCUUCUUACGUUGGUGUCUCAUGACUCCACUGUCACAAUAUUCUUAGCUCUCUUCUUCCAUCUGUUCCAGACAGGCAUCUAACUGGAAAGUCUGGAAGGAAACACUGGGCACGGGAGCCAGCCAACCUCCAUCUCUCUCUCUCUCUUCUGUGCGGGUAUGUCUUUUUGUCUCCUGCUCUCUCUGCUCUUCCCCCUGAAGCACUGCCUUGCCUGUAGAAGGCACAUCUCCUCGGAUGACCUCCUGCUAGGAUUGUCAGCCCACACACUUGUAGGCACGAGCCACGGUCUUCAAAAUGAUCAGCUGCAGUGGGAGCAGAGUUGAUGGUCUGAGUCACAGCUGACAGCCUUUUCCCCCAAAUUUACAUUUCAUAGCCACCAAGCCCGUAGGACUCUUUUGCUGAUAAGUAUAUAUUUACCUUGCCUGGAAAAUCAACUAGAAACCAUGCCAAAAAAAAAAAAUCCAUCAUUUAAAAUCAUUUUUAAAAAUAUUACUUGCUUCCCAGUUGAUGCUUCUGGAGGAGGAGGUACAGUGAGACAACCAUUACUAAAUACUUCACAUUAUCCAUCCCUCCCCCUUGGCCACCCCAAGUCUGUUCUCCAAGUCCAUGAUUUUCUUUUCUGUGGAAAGGUUCCUUUGUGAUGUAUAUUAGAUUCCAGAAGAUGCAAACGAUUGCCUUUGGAAUGGAUAAGCAAUGAGAUCCUGCUGUAUAGCACUGGGAACUAUGUCUUGUCAUUAUGAUGCAACAUGAUAAUGUUGAGAAAAAGGAAUAUAUACAUGUAUGUGUAACGGGGUCACCUUGCUGUACGGUAGAAAAUUGACAGAACACUGUAAAUGAGCUAUACUAGAAAAAAUAAAAUCAGUAGAAAUGGAAAAAAAUAAAUAUUUGACAUUGUGAUUUUCAAUCACUCUAUGGCGCUGGAUAACUUGAACGUUUGCACUUAAAGUUAAUACAUGAGUAUUUUUUCUAUUAUUAACUAUACUUUGAAAACCUAUGAUAAUGUUUGCAUAGUGUGUCAUUAUAUGGAUGUUUUACUUUCAGGUUGGACAUUUUUUCCUCCCUAAUUUUUCACUAAUUUCAACAAUAAAUUUUGUCUGCUUCUUCCUAAAACAAUAGUAAUGUUGUGUUUCCAUUUGUUUUCCUUUUGAUUUUAUUUCAGAACUUGAGGGGGAAGGAGGGUAUUGAAAAUCCCAACCACCUAAUGUGUUGCUUGAAACAGACCAAACCUUUGUCUUCUGCAUGGAAAUGAAGUAUUACUAACAUAUAUUUACCCAUAUUUUGUACUAUUGUUAUGAUACCUGUUUUUUCUUUUUGUCUUUUUAGGGCCUCACCUACAGCUUAUGGAGGUUCCUAGGCUAGGGGUCAAAUUGGAGUUGCAGCUGCUGGCUUACACCACAGCCACAGCAACACCCGAUCUGAACCACUUCUUUGACCUACACCACAGCUUAUGGCUACGCCGGAUCCUUAACCCACUGAGCGAGGCCAGGGAUUGAACUUGCGUCCUCAUGGAUGCUGGUCAGAUUCAUUUCCACUGAGCCAUGAUGGGAACUCCUGAUUUUCUUUUUAAUGCUAACUCAGAACCAUGGGUGUAGUAGGGUCCACUUUGACGUCUUCUCACUUUUUUCUUUAAACAAUAUAAAUCAACGUAUUCUAUGAGUAACAUUAAUACUUCACUUUCUCUGAGAUAGAAUGAAAAUUUGCACCUAAAUUAAGGUAAGAAGUCCAGGGAAUGCAGAUUAAGACUUUUGAUGGCAUACCCCUGGAUUCUGCCUUCCUUUGCUCUCUCAAUGAGGGAAUAGACAUCAGUCCCAGAUCAAAGCAAACCAUUUUACCAAUUUUCUUUUGCAUGAGUCUUUUAGCACAGAGUGUGCUGUUUUGCAGAACUGAUGUGUGCUGCCACCACAAACCUUCUCAGCUCCUCGUUCCUCUUGAUACAUGGGGAGCUGAGGUGGAGAGUCAUGACUCUGCACCAUUGCCAAGUUGUGGAUUUGUUAUCUGUUCCUGAGUGCCCCCAUUAACUCAGAGGAGGCAUUUUUCUCCAAUGAGAAAAAAAAAAAUAAUAAGAAAGCCAAGCGCAAAACAAAAUUCUCCUUUCUCAUUUACUUUCUCAGCAAUUGGAACCUCUGUGGGACUCUAGCAUCCUAACAUUAUUCAACUAUAGAAGUGAUAGAUAGCCAUUCAGUGGAAAUGCUUGAAACUGACAGCCUCUGGGGGCAGAGAGGUACAGUGGUGAACUAAAGGCCAGUAGCCAUAGAGAGGUUCAUUAGAGAGGACAUACUGGUUGCUGGGCAGGGGGGCCACUUGGGGGAGCACUAGGGUGGCUGUUAUCAGAGCUACUGGCAAUUCCACCCGGAAGAGUCACUUCCACCGAAAUGAGAGGAGAGUACCGAACGUCAGGUGCUGCCUUUCAUGACCCUUGGAAUCGCUUUAGAGGUACCCCUGCACACCUGAGCCUCUGACUAUCUAGAAGAGCCGCUACUAUUUCCAAAAGCCUCACCAGCUUCCUCCUGACUCCCAGGUCAGGGAGCCCCCUGACCUCCCUUAGCCUUCAGGGCAAGUUCCUUGGCCAUCUCCUUGCAGUUCUGUUUUCUUUAUAAAACAAUUCUAUCGAUGUUAUCUUGGAAACUAUCUUGGCUUAAAAAGCUUUUUAGCAGUUUUCUUUGGCACCUAACCUCCCAGGACCAUGCCCAGAAUGAAGCAAAUCUCCUGAUGCUGAUGUGGCAAUUUCUAGGAAGUAUGAUUCUGUCUUCUGGCUCCUUAAGAUUAACUGUGGAUGAAUCAAAGUCAAAAUAAGCCCCUUCCCGUGUGCCCUGUACCAAGAAGAGAGUAGAAAAAUAAUGAGGGUGGUACUGAUGGAUGAGACAGAAUUAAGAUGAGGCUUCAACUGUAAGAUAAAGUAUCUAAAAAAAACAGACCCAUUUUUCAAGGUAACAUGUGGCAAGAACGCCCUUGUCCAUUGGACCAAUGGCUCUCAAAUCAAUGUUCCCAUGAGCUACUACUGCUAUGAAACUUCAGGUCAUUCUAGGAAUUACGGUUUGAUGGGAGUAUCCUGGAUCCAUCUGUCUAGUCCUACAGCCGUCAUGGCAUCUUCGUCAACACCACUACUCUGAAAUGAUUCUGAAACCAUUACUUUUUUGGUUCUCAGUUCUGCCGAGAAGAGUAUAAGAUGCAACGAAUUCAAGCCAUGAGAACAGACCAGCCUGGAUUGUGAUGAUUCCUGAGGUUAUUCCAGGUGGGGCUGAGUUCACCCAGAGCAUGUGGUCAGUGCUUAUGCUGACUGUCUUCAGGCCAUGACACCUACACACUCAAUAAUAUCAUCACUUUGAUGACAUGGACCCCAGAACACUUAGGAUGACAUGAGAGAAGUCUAAAGAUUCCAGGUGUUAUGUGAAAUGUAGGUGAAUUCUUCCAGAGGCCUGUAGAUUUAUUGGACAAAUAUUCUACAGCAGAUGCUCCUUGUUUGGUCACAUAGCAAAUGUUCCUGCUGGGUGCUUCCUUUUUUCUUUCAUGACCUGAACAUACUCUAGUGACUGACGAGAAUAUGAUUGUAGUCAACCCAUAAUGACUUGACAGCACUUUUUUAUACACUAUUAAACAAGCAGUCAUUACCUGAUUUAAAAAAUUCCUUCAAAUGACAUGAAAUAAGAAACAUUAAUACAGAUAUGUCUAUUUUUUUUCUGAAAAUGAACAGACACAUUUGAUUAAUCCUUGGAUUCUCACUGGCAAAUACUUUAGGAAUCAAAGAAUAGGCUUGAUCCUCAAAUGAUACUGAGUACUAUUCAGUGUUUACUUUCAUAAUUCUGAGAGUUUAGAGCAUUUACUCCUUUGGUCUUCAUUGUGAAGAUUGUCUUCAAAGAUUACUGAACAAAGACGAUUUUGAAAAUGCAGUUCUCUUUGAAAGGUCUGUUCAUUUUAGAUUAUACAUGCUUAACAUGUUGCUAUCCUCAAUUUAAGAUUUUUAUGAUAAAAUUUCUUAUGAUCAUAAAAAAGAUAGUUUUCUUGUUUAACUUCACUCUGUGUUUUAAGUCAAAUAAACAUUAACCACCUUGAGUACUUUUUAUUUCAUUUUGAAUCAACUGGUUUAUGGACACCUUGAAUAAGUUUUCCUUGUGUUUUUGAUGUACCCCUUUCUGUGUAGCCCAGUCUUUAGAAUAAAUAAGAGCUCAAUAAAUAGUUGAAUUAAAGUAACCCAGUGACCCAGUCACUCUAUCUUUUCAUCUUGACCAUAAUCUACACAGUUUGCUCAGCAUCUCUUUUGCUUUCUAUUCCUCAGAGACACCAUGUUAGUUCUAGUUUAUUCUUUUUUUUUUUUUCUUGGUCUUUUUGCCAUUUCUUGAGCUGCUCCCGCGGCAUAUGGAGGUCCCAGGCUAGGAGUUGAAUCGGAGCUGUAGCCACUGGCCUACAUACACCACAGCCACAGCAACACAGGAUCCGAGCUGUCUGCGACCUACACCACAGCUCACAGCAACGCUGGAUCCUUAACCCACUGAGCAAGGCCAGGGAUCGAACCCGCAACCUCAUGGUUCCUAGUCGGAUUCGUUAACCACCACACCACGACGGGAACUCCUAGUUUAUUCUUUAUAUAUAUAUGGUAAUGUGCAUGUUUCAUUGACUAAUCCAGAAAUCCCCUAUGACUAUGAGGAUUACAGGGAAACCUGGAUGCAAAUGAUGGAUAAGCAUUCAACUACACAACUUUCUAACAAGAAUUUCUUUCAUGACUCUUGCCAUAAUGAUUCAAUAAUGUUUGAAAGGUUGAUUAGAGCACUUAUUUUUCAGGGAUAAAGAGUGGAACGUCUUCAGAAGAGCCAACAUGACUUUAGAAGACAAUUUCAAAAUGAUGGUAGAAUUUCUCAGAAUUUGAAACAAUGCUGCAGAGAGGAAACUACCCUAGUGGCUUCCAGGCCCUCACUGCUACGUUCCCUUGACCUGCAAUAAAGUUUUCCUAUAGCAGGCUCUGAAUGCACAUAGACAUACCCGAUUGGUGUUUUAAAAUAGUGAAUACUUCCAAAGAUAUUUUCAAGCAAGUGAAAAAUACAUAUGGUAGGAAUCCUUUCAGAUGUAGCAUAUAAUUAAAAAAAGAGUAUUCUACUGCUGUUUGUGAAAUGAAUGAGUUUCUGUAGGGAGUUUCACUACCUGACAUUAAAACAAGAACUUUUUUUUUUUUUUUUUUUUUUUUUUUUUUUUUUUUUAAGAAAGUGGAGAACUAACAAGAAAAUUUUCAGGCAAUGACUUACAUUUCUUCUUUAAGAGAGAAGUUGAUUUGAGUCAGAGUUUCACAUCUAGAAAUAUUCAGUUGAUUAAUGCUUAAAGAAUCACGUGGAAAGUCGUAUGAGUGCAACCCAGUUUCUCACUAAACCAAAUUUUAGUUGUUUACAGAAAUUUUAGAAAAUGUCACAAAAAAUUGAGAAGUUUGAGGCUUUUUAAUCCUUGACAGAGCCCAUUAUAUGUGGCCCAAGAUUGAGAUUAUCUACAGAUAUUUUUUUACAAACCAUGAGAAUAUGAAUUAUGUUAACAGCCAAUAUCUCCCCAAGUCCUAACAGUCAAUAAACAUUUUAAAUUGAUUGCAAAAUGGCUACAUCAUAAUUCAAUAGCCCUGUCCUUGGAUUUAAUUUUGCCCUUUUGUAAGGAUUAUUGGUAGCUCCAUUCUUUUGGCUGGAGGCCCUUAUAGCUGGACUUUCAUGCUACUGUAAAUUGUCUCAUAGCCAAAUUCAGUGCAUUUACUAAAAUGCCAUGGGAUUAAUUUACAAAUGUGCAACCAUUACUAAUGUACUUUUUGGAGGCAUUGCUUCUGCUAAGAUGGGAUAGCAGAAUAGAAUAUGUUGAUGAGGUAAAGGAGAUAAAAAUAGGAAACUGAUGAGCCAUAGGGAAAUAUGACAGAACAAACCACUUUCAUAAAACAGAUAAAAUUGGCGUGGAAAUGAAGGUUGUUUUAUCUACACAGGUCAAAUUCUAUUGCAGUGAUGUUCAAGAGAGUUCAGCACAGGAAGUUUAGAUAAAUAAGUAAAAUAAAUGGGCUUUUCCAUGGUGCUUAUGUGUGUUCUAUUUCAAUCUUCCUCAUAAUAGAACUCAUUAGAGCGAUCAGACCCGCACACCCGAGAAUGGAUUAUAUAGCACGAUGUGAGAUAGGACCAGCCUCCUUUCCACAGGUAAGCCCAUCUUGCAUUAGUCAAAUGCUUUAUUAUUCUGAUGAUUUUGCCCACACCUAUUACUUCACAUUUCAGGACGAUAAGGGAAGAAGAGCCAGGAAGAAACGCACUUAGAAACACAGGUGAAGAGUCUGGCUUCUGGAUUCAAACGCUAGCCCUACCCUCUAGGUAUUUCAGCAUCUUGGACUUAUUACUUAGUCAACCUUUCGAAGUUUCCUCGUGUCCCAAAGAGGGAUAAUAAUGGGGCGUACAUCCCAGAAGUGUGGAUGAGAAUUAGAUGCAGGGUACAUGGCAAUCCUAUUGGCUGGUUGUAAGCACUUAAUAAAUACGUAUUGUGAGGUAUAUAGGGUGGCAUGUUGGGCUGUUUACAAAUGAACAAACUGAAUAACCAACAGGUUAAGUGCCACUCUAGGAACUUUGAUGUUUCUUAUUGAAACUAAUUGACUUGGCUUUAUCUUUAGGAGGACUUUUAUCAAAACUCAUUUUAUGAACCAAAUGGAACUCUUGUGCUUUCAUCUCUCUGUGUUUUCCUUUAUCCAGGCAUUUUUAAAGAGACACCUGAGAAAUGGAAAGAAUUCUAUCCUAUCACUCUAGAUAAUUUAUUCCAUGAAUUUGAAUUUCUUUCUUCUCUUUUCAGACCUCAGUUUCUUUGUCUCCUUGUAAUAUCUAAGUCCUUUUCUGGUUGAAAAUAAUAUUGUUUCACACAUGUAUAAUUCAACUCUUGAACUCUGAUGUUUGACUCUAAUAAAUAUCUUAAAAGAAAAGGAAUCCACCUUUUGACCAUAAAAGUGUUGUAUUUUAUUCUAUGCAUAUUAUUUAGGCAUUGCACUUCCCUGGGUCGGUUCUUUCUUUGGUUUAACAUCACAUUUCAAAAAAGUUAUAAUGGAAAUUCAGAUGCAUAAAUUCAACUUAAUGUUGACAGCAGUUCUGAAAUUAAAAAUUUCCUAACAAGCCCAAAUGUGAUCAUUAAUGUAUAAUGUAUUAACAUGUGCUUCUCUUAUAAUGUAUCACAACUUCACAUAAUAACAGUGUCCAAAUUGAAGUAAAUAUUUCUGAAAUUCGACAUGAUUUUCAUUAAAUAUCUAAUUUCAUAUUUUCAGCUAAGAAACUACAUUUUAGACUUACUGUGACCUGCUGUUGCAUCUUUUAUUUUUCCUAUAUUUCUUCCUUUCUAAAGUUUAGGCUUCUAUGAUUAUUUCAAUAAAGUGAUUUUAUUUUUGAAACGAGGGGGAAGAAAAAUCACAGACAUUUCCGCAAUUUCAUACGAUGGCUAGUUUAACGACCAUUGAUACUUGAUUUUUGCAUGCUGUGGAUGUCAAUAAAAGUGAUUUAAUGUACUAAAUUCAUGAAAUCUAUUGGAUCUACUCUGUGUUUAUAAAUGAUUCUAGAGGCAGAGAUAACGUUGAUGGACCAAUAGAUUUAAAACAUUAGUUUCUAACUGUCUGCUUCAUGAGAUGACGUGUGUGGUGGUUGAUUAAAUUUUUUUUAAAGUUUUAUUGAAGUAUAGUUCAUUUACAAGGCUGUGAUAAUUUCUGCUCUACAACAAAGUGACCCAGUAUAUGCGUAUGCGUAAGUUGAUUCAAUUGUUGAUUACAGUUCUUUAAGUGACAUAUUAAAUCUGUCUUUUAGGCUUUAGCAGAAAAAAAGCCCUCGAUAUAGUUCUAACUUUUUCAUGUUUUAGGUGGCGUUUUUUUUUUUUUUUUUGUAAUUCAUUUUAGAUUGACUAUUUAACUCCCUUGGUGUGAUAGUUUCCUCCAUAGGCCCCCAUAACUCAUGCUGCUCCCUUGAUGUCUGGCUUGCUAAUGUCCCCGCUUCUGACAUUUGGAACUCUUAAGUUCAAUCCCUUUCUAGUUAUCCCCUACCCCCAGAAUUUCAGUAGAUGUAGGUAGUUAUAAACUAGUUUAAACCUAAAGCAUUGCCCGAGUUAGCAAGAGAUCUUGUGAUGUACCUAAGUUGUUCAUAACAUGAGAACCCUGGUAAAUUGGCUAACAUUCUGGUUAAAAUUGUUGGCAAAAUUCCUCCACAGCUUCUCAAGGAUCCAAUUCCCUAUCCUAAAAAUAGUGGGAGGGGUAACUCAACAUAUAAUCACUUGGGAAGUAUUUUGAGGAUGGCUAUUAUGUAACUCAGUGUUAAUGACUAAAUCAGCAUUUGGAAAACCCCCAAAGUCAUAUCAUACAGUUGCAGUAAUUACAGUCAAGAUCUACCCCACAGUGAAGCCUUUUUUUUUUUUUUUUUUAAGGUUGUUGUGCAACCCAAUGCGUCAAGAUUUUUGUGGAGUUUGCAAAAACGAUCCUACUCAAAAAGGAUCUUUACAAAGAAGUGACCGUGUUGUUCUCUGACCUGACUUGGCUCAUCAGUAAAAUGCAUUAGCAGAAUUGUCAAGAUUUCCUUAAGCUAUACAAUUUUAUAAAGGAUACUUCACACAGGAAAUCAGCAGAUUUAGAUGAAGAGUACCCUUCAGAAAGCAGAGAUAGGAAUAAAGAUCAUAUACGGAAGACUUUAAACAGAGAAAAUUCAAGACUUUAAAGAAACAGUCUUGAAUAAGCACAAGUGUGACUCCAUGUUCUCAAGGACAGACCUCUGGCACACACGUAAUAUACUGAGAUUAGUUUGAGAGCUCAGAAUUCAUCGAGUUCAGAAUCUCAGGGUCAGUUGAUCAUGCAGGUCUAUGUCUCAAGACCUUCGAAGUUCACUAGCCCUCAUUCUUCAAACUACUGGCAGGGAAACUGAGGUCCAAAAAGAGUCAAAAAGAUAUUUCAUAAAACAUCUUCUUACUCCUUACCCAGUGCUCCUGUUGUGUGACUGUGAUGAGAAACAGACAUAAGAAUACUCAAGUGAAUGAAUGGAUGAGUGUUUUGAAGAAAUAACAAAAAAAGACCCCAAUGAGUGGCACCGACUGGGCAGUUAUCUGGGGAGAAAUAAUAUUGAUAGCUUGAAUGUUAAUAAAGAUGAUAGGAGGCUGAGAAGAGGAAAAGAAAGAAAAAGUUGAACAAAUAUGUUUGAACAAUACGUUUGCAGCUUUGCCUGCCUUGUUAUCAAAGGACAGCCUUUUGAGAUAGCUUUUCAUACUCUUGAGUCUGUUUUAUAGUAAAGAUGUGUGAUGUCUUUGAAUAAAGAUGUGGUAUACAAUACUUGUAAUAACAAAGCAUUUUAAGUGUUUAAAGCAAAAUAAUCUCUUAAGAAACAAUGCAGUCAAAAUCACUGUGCCAUUUUUUUUUUUAACACCUAGCCUAAAAGACCCAGGGUGACAUUUAUUGAGGGCUACAAUAUCCUCUGGUUAGAACCUGAAAAAAAAAAAAAAAAGAUGGGGCCAUGCAUACUUGCCUGUCAUAUCUUUAGAAUACGUUAGCUUAAGUACUGCCUGGAAUACAUGUCACUAGUGGUUACCAAUUCUCCAAUUUUGAAAUAGCAUGUGGUUCAAUUAAAUGCAAGUUGAAAAUAGUUUAGGUGGGGAACACCUUCAAGCAUCUAACCUGGGUAGGUUAGUUGCAUCUUUUCCCUUUAGGCAUUAAGAUCUUGACUUAAGUUUGAAAAUGACUGUAGGUGUCUCUUGAUGUACUGCUGCCUAAAUAGCUGGUAAGAAAUGACAGGGAAAAAAUACACUGACACUCAUCUUCAUGGAACCCUGAAGUUUUCUCUCUGGAGAUUGUGUUUAAGAUAACAGGGUUGUAAAGAGGCAAGUAUAGAUUUUGACUCUGAGGCCCUCAGAGAUGUAUGAGCAUUAAGAGGUCUCCAUGGCAAUGCACUGCCACACCAUUCAUGCAACACCAUAGUAAAGUGUGUUCAAAUAUAGAUCUCAGUUUCAAUACACUUUUUCAGAAAUGCGUUUGCUUCUGUUUUCUUUUUCUUUUCUUGGCCACACCUGUGGCACAUGGAUGUUCCUGGGCCAGGAUCGAAUCUGAGCCACAGCUGACCUAUGCCACAAUCUGACCAAUGCCAGAUCUUUAAGCUAUUGUGCUGGGCUGGGGAUUGAACCUGUGCCUCAGCAGGGACCUGAGCUGCUGCAGAGACAACGCUAGAUCCUUAACCUGCUGUGCCACAAUGGAAACUCCCAUGUGCUUUUUUUUUUUUUUUUUUUUUUUUUUUAAGGGAAAUCUGCCUCCAGAAGACAGAGACAAAGAACGCCAUAAUGUCAGUGCUCAUUUCUUUAAUUAUGAUGUUGCUGAUAUUUUUCUAGCAAACCCCAAAAGAGGUAACUUUGGUGUUCCUUUGAACCAUUUAAAAUAAGCAUCUCUCUACAAGAUGCUAUGAGAGUAUAAGACAUGAAAAUUAAUAUUCAUGCAUAAAGCUACCUACAACAUGCAUUUUUGUGAAAAUGAGAGCAGUGGAGAUCAUAUUAGAGUAUAAAGUUUUAGCCAUAUCACCAAUCCCUUAUGUAAUGCUUACGAUUUAAAUGACUCAAUUCUACAUAUUUGAAUAAAAAGAAGCAGAAGACAUAUUUUCUCAGUUUUCUGAAACCAAGGAAGUUUAUUGAGGAGGGCGAUGAAAUCUUUUAACUUUUUUUUUCUUUUUAUCAGCAUUAGGUUUUUUUAAACCAAAAAUAAAUAAGUAAAUAUGGCAUCCAAUGAAUGCGUUUUUGAAAAUUUUCCAAUAAUUUUAAGGAAAAUUUAAAAACAGCAAAUCUAGGAACUUAUAACUGAUACUUGGCCCCUUUUUGUUUUCUAUCUUUUGACACUUAAGUAGGUGAUUAAAAAAAUGGAGGUGUGAAAAAAUGACCUAGAAAAGAUAGUGAUUACUUCUACUGCCAGAAGGACCUCCGGAAAUGGCAAGAAAGUUGACAUCUUCAAUUGCAUAUGUUUAUUUUUUAAUGGCUUGGAGUAAAUAGAGGGAAAAAUGUUAAAAAUGAUAAAUCUUGGUGAUAGAAAGAUGACAUUGCUUUAACUGAAAUGUUUUCUAAAUUGAAAUUUAAGUCUGAAAUAUUUUUAAAUUUAAAAUGAAAUGUUUUCUACUUUUUAAAAUUCUGGCUAAAAAAGACGUAUUUAUGUAUGACUCCUUUAGUGCAAAUUUAAAACUUUUGCUUUCCUUAUAAGUUAGAGAUUUGUUUCCUCGAAGUUCAAAAUUUAUAUUUAAAAAGAGUAAAUUUAUGUAAUUUAGAGAAUUGUCUGCUAAACACUCAACAGAAAGAUAAAAUAAAAUCCUAAAUCUCUGUAAUGUAUUCUGAUACCUGAGAGUUUUAUUUCUCCUCUGUUUAUGUGUGUGCAGCUAAUUUUGGGUCAUUUUAUAUGAUUUACACAAGUUAGCUAACAUUUCAGAGGCAUAAACAUAGCAAUUUUAUUCAAAAGAUCAAUUAAUGGAUAUGUAUAAAUUGUUUUUCUCUUAUAUUUAUCAAACCCUAUGUAAAUAUGGAAGUACGCUUUAUAGAACUGUUGGAGUGAAAAAGCUUUACUAUACUUCAGGAUAAAAUUCUGGGGAAUUUUGUGUUUUCCUGUCUUAUUCUGUUAAUGCCAUUUUUAAAAGUAAAAUCAAUCCUUUUUAAAAAAGACAAAAACAAAACCUAGACUAUAAGAGACCUCUUGUAUUACUCAGAGUAUACAUUUGAUUUUUAAAGAAAUUGUUAUAUACACUCCCCCAUGGUUCAUUCAAAUAGAAUUUGUUUAGACAGGAAUCAUUACUUUAAAUAUUCUUGCCAAAUUUGAUCCUAUCAGCAUAAGUGCCAAAGCUAGCUGCAGGUAAGUUGCACUUGAGCAGCUGUAUCUUGAAGAAGAGCUAUUGUCACUGUUUAUUAAUUAUAAAAGGAAGUGGAUUAAGUUUACAGGUCUUCACUCAUUUUUACAUGUAGGCAUCAUAAUUGCUGGAUUGUGUGUAUGCUCAGCGGACUCUGUUCAUUCAGGAUUUGAAGUUUGCACAUCGUGUCUGAUAACAGUAAAGCACUUGCAAUAAUGUUGCACCUGGACCAGGGAGGCGUCAGCAGAGCAGAGGUCAAGACCAGGCCUUAAUAAGCAUUGACUCCACAGACUUUAGACUCCGUGAAAGGUCCAGACAACCCCUGCAGUGUCAUCUUACAGCUCUGAUUUUCUUCUUUUCAAGAGGCAGUAUAAUCCAUAAAUACAACUAAAUCACUAGAAGCUCCGUCUUUGAUUUUCAUCUUCCAGUUUUUUUCCCCCCCUCUUCACAGAGAUUUGAAAAAUUAACCCUCUUUUGUCCUCACACUAACCCAAGAAUGCAUUUCUUCACAGGCACUGUUGUCGGCUUAAAUCUUAAGUCCUUUCAGGGUAAAAGGUACUUUGUAGAGUGGCUGAUAACACACAGAGCAGCAGUCAGUGUUUCCUUUCCUGCCAAUAUAGGGUGAAUAAUGUCUUGAUAGACGACUAAGAGGAAUAAGGCAAGUGAGUGAAAUAGUCCUUUUUUACAAAUGUUUCCAAAGCAAUACGAUUAGAUACCUAAACCUUAAAUGGAAUUUUUGUUUCGCUCUAGUUUCCCAUCCCCCAGUGGUUAUAUUUACACCCAGGCUUCUAGAUAAUCCAUGUGUGUGAUGAAAAUGUCCCCAAGCACCUUUGUGUGUGUGUGUGUGUGUGUGUGUGUGUGUGUGUGACAUAUUCCCCUCAUUUUGCAUGAUCUGGUACAGCUCACACUCUCGUGGUCUGACAGACAUAAUCUCUUGUCACACUACUGUUUUCUUUCUCUAGAUCAGCCCUUCCUGAAAGAGAAGUUAGACCUUAGCCAUUAACACAGUAGUUUUCCUGCAGGAAAUACACCCAAUGACGUAUGCACUACAAGGAGAAAGAGUCCAGCUCACGUGCAUCAGCUGAGAGGAGCCGACUACCCCGAGGUGCACUGGCCUCGUGCUGGAUGCAAGAACCGUCCAAUCGAAUGCAGGGGAAUCUUUUUAUUCUGCCCUCAACGCUGCAGAGUUUCAGGAUGCCAAAGAGAUUGGCCUCUGCCCCGAAGUAUAUCCUUUUGAGUUGCUGUACACCCUGGUAGCCCCACUUCCGUCACAGUUUUAAAACAUCCAGUUUACAACAGACAGCUCCGAGGGUAAAGCUUAGCUGCAUAAUUCAGGGGGAAGCCAUGGCUUAUCUGAGCUGAAACAGCGAGAACCUAGCACAGCAGGUGGAAGUCUCGAGGGUUCGAAUGUGUGCUAAGGGCUGGCGAAGAGCCUUGAGAAGGAACAUCCACACAGAUCCAAAGGGUGUCCCGGGAGAGCCAGAGGGGGCUGGUUUCUUCAGCGUCUCAGUCUCAGACAGACCCUCACCGUCUCAGGGAGCCGGAAGGGAACAACAUGGGGCAGACAUCUCGCACAUCUCCCAGCAUCAGCACUGGGUAUAAUUACAAUUUCUCCCCUGCUGUUCACCUAAAGCACAUGGACACACAGGCAGCCCGGCAGAGGAGCAAACCCUGAGCCCACGGAAAGGGAAAUGCCAAAAAUCACCUAGUGUUUGGGAUUGAUCUAGGACCUUGCCAAAUCAAAAUCCGUCUAUUCUUCAGAAUAACAUGGAAGAAGAGAAAAUGGGAGGAGUUCAGAGUCCUCUUUCUUAGUCGCACCUGCUUUGAAUGUCUGAGCUUUGACUCUCUGCAAUUACAACACGAAUACAACUUUAAUAAUUCUUCCCAACACUCCAUUAUCCAUCAGCUCCUCUCACAGGCGGGGUUAAAUUCAUUGCUUGUUCAAAUUUGCUGUUUGAAAAGGAAACUUAAGCUAAACAUACGUAGAAUGGGAUACCUUAGAUUCUGUAUUUUACUUUGAUUUUUUGUUUAUAUUUUGACUUUUUCAGUUUUUAACUAUAUUUUAUCUGUUUAGGGUAAUGAAACAGGAAUUGGCUGAAUCACUGCCAUAUAUAAUCAUGCCAUUUUUCUAAUGGAUUUUUGUAAUUCACAAAUCAGUGGGAAAAAAAUCACCAAUAUGAAUGAGAUAAAUGAAUCAACAUAGAUAUUUAAUGGCAUGAUGAACGUUCUUAUGUUUAGGUAAUGCAAACUGGCAUAUAUAUAUGUGUGUGUGUGUGUGUGUGUGUGUGUAUACACACACAUAUAUAUAUGACAAUCUAAGAAAUUUAAAUUGCAAGUUUCAUAAUGAAUUGACUUCACAUGUUGGUGGCUUAGAACAUGCCUUCAUAGUUACGAAUUCCGUGAGCAACUGUUUUUCAAUUUUUGUGUAAUUUGGAUGCAAAGAAAUUCUAAUUGAUCUUAUCAGUCAUAAGGUGCAUCUUUCAAACCAUUCCACUAGUGUGGCUUUUGAUGAGGGCAUCCUAUUUUUGACAACGAGUAGACCGGCUUGAGAUAAAUGGUUACCUGAAGAAGAAUGAGCAAAGAAUUCCAAAUAGAGAGAGUGCUGCUAUGUGGCCAACAGAUUUUCAAUAACUCUGAUAGUUAGGUUGGAGUUUUUCUUAUCUCCAUGUACAGCUUUUAAAAUAUACACCUUUGGUACAUGUUUCUUUCUGUCUUUCUUUGUCAUAAUAAUUAGUACCGGUAUCAGAAAGAAAACUUGUUUUCUCCUAACAUUUUUACUGUUUCUAAUAUUAAAUUUUUAAAAAGAGAACACUGUGGAUGCUUUGCAGUAAUAAUAAACUUUGAAAAAAAACUGAGUCGACAACUUGUCAAAAAGGAAAAAAAAAAGAGAAUUUACAUGCGUACUUUUACAGCACAUAUGAUUUGCUAAGCUACACUAUAUAGAACAUCUUAAAUUCUUGAUAUAGCCUUUCCUACUCCAAGUCCAAAAUAAAUGCGAAGAAAAAAAAUUUUUUAAUGAUAACUAUACAUAGAAUGAACCCAAGAAUUUUAGAUAGUGGCUAUUUUCAUAAUAAAUUUAAAUGUAUAUACACACACACACACACACACACACACACACACACAUAUUUCAAUAGUGAUGACUCAUUUAAGUGACAAAGAAAAUAAAUUUAGUAUCAUCACUCUUUCAUCUUAAUUCAAACAUUAUGCUAAAUUUCAGUGCAAUUUUUCAAAUAAAUGGCUCACCAUCUAGGUGAGAGCCUGUGGCUGAAAAUGAUAACUUUAAAACACAAUUACUUGUGAUGAAAUGGCAGAAACAGCCAACUCAAGACAUUUGCAUGGAGGAUGCAUCUUGCAGCGAUAUGAAUAGGAGUAAAAAUUAAAUAUGUUCAAUUAGUUUAGAUUGGCUGGUAAGGGGAAAACACAAAGACAAAAACGGAGGCAGGGAGGUUUACAAUGCCUCUACUGAUUUCUCCACUGGCCCUUCCUCUGCACAUGGUCAAUUAGAAUUGAAAAUCCUGUGCUGAUUUCAUUCGCUGGAAUUUUUAAGCAGGUCAGGAAGAAAGAUGUUAUUGAAAGGAAAAGUCUCAUCUAAAUAAGAAAGGCACACAGGGCCAUCUGGUCUUAGCUGUACAUAUAAAAAGUUAUUUCAGCUGAACUGCAGGCUUGACGUUUCAAAAGAUAUGCCAAUAAUCAACCCCAAAUCUGUUUGGGGUGAAAUAUCCCCAAUGUCUCUCUCUCAGCCUCCGAAUGUGCGAUACAUAGUUCAUGUCCUAUCUGUGACUCCUGUGUGUAUCUGACCCCAGUGCCUCCCUGGGCUCAGGGAGUUUCAGGCAGCGGGACUUUUAAUCACUCUUCGGACAUGUCUCCCUGGUGGACCUUCUGAAAAUUGUGAAAAUGACUUUGAAGGUUUUCACUCAAAUGGAUUUUGAGGGCAGUCUCCAUGUAGGCUUGGAAGGAUAACAUUUGAGGCAUGAAGCCACCAAACCAGUUCCUCUUCCUUCCUUCUGGCCUUCUCUCUGCAGUGCCCAGGCGUCCACUCAAAUUAAUCCCAAAUCCUAUGCCUAAAGGCUAAGUUUGGGGCGGGGAGGGGGGAAACCCCAGUCUCUCUUUUCAUAAAGAAAAAUUAUGACUGUGAGGCUGCUUGGAAAAAUCAUCUUCCUAAUGGUAAGAAAGAGAGAAGUUUUUUUUUUUUUUUAAAUAUUUUGUGCUGUUGGCCAAAUGACUAUCAUAUGUUUUGAUCUAGUGAAAAUAGUUUUGGAUAUGAGGCAUCUGCAAUAAUUACAUUAUCAGUACAUUAAUUUGACCAAUAUCUGAGCACACCCCCUCUGCUAACUUAGACACAGGUAGCUAACAUUGCCAUACAAAUUUCACUGGAUCGAACUAUGCUAAUAUUCUAACUCAGGAGCACUGAAACAACACUGAUCAUAAUACAAUACCAACAAUUAUUUUUGAUCAUAAGACUUCGUUCAAAUCUAUAAUUUACACCUACGAUACAUACUACGCGAGGUACAAAAAUACAUGGUUAUAGUGUCAACACAUGCUAAGCAAGAGUACAGGUUUUAACUAAAGUCUUCAGAUAAAUAAUUGAAUUAAGUAUAUUCUAAUAUAUGAAACACAAGAAUGUUGAUAUACCCCUGACAUAAGAUGUCUUUAUUGUUUUUGUAUAUCUGCUAUGUUUGUUCUGCCAUUUCAAAUAAAUCAUUCCUAUUGUGUAAGAAGAAUAAACUGUACUAUAGUAAAUUGUUCUUUCUCCGUUAUGCUCUGAAAAACCAUUUGUUCUUGAAUUGGCGUUACGUAGUUCAACUAUUUCAAUCAAGUCCAUUAUCUUCUUUUCUUGAAAGAUGCCUUUUUUUGUAACCUACAUCCCCAGUGGGCCAUGCCAUGUUUUGUUUUUAGAAAGUAAGUGAACUUUAAAUCCAACUCUUUGCUAGCCUUUUAGUCUUUGAGAAAACAAUUUGAGGAUUCAUCCUCAGGCAAGAACGCCACUAUAUGUUGGAAGAACUAUUUAUGUAAAAACUAUGGAGUCAGGUCCAAGACUUUCUCAGAAAAGUUAUUUAUUAGUUCACAUUGGAGUUUUACCCCAUAGAAUGUCACCUAACUUGUGUAGCUUGCUCUUCUUAAGCAAAAAAUGCGUCCGUUCUUUAAGCUACAUACUUUUCUCAAUAAUGUUAACUUGAAAGCAAAAAAAAAAAGAAAAAGGACAAAAAAUUUUUCACUGGUUUUAAAACAAUCACACAACAUCAAAAAUUAAUUUGUGUGUUGGCAUAUAAGCAAUGCUGUUCAUGUACAUAUUAUUUGCAAAUCUGUUCAACAUUAAUCCUUUUCUAAGUAUGAAAGUUCUUUUAAGAAAGAAGCAUUAAAUGCACAUAUGAAAAUUAAGAAAAUAAUGUGUCAAAUAUCCCCCACGUAAGAACUGGUAAGUACACCCAGUUGUCCUAUCCGAAUGAAGAUUAAUUUAAACUACGGACCAAAACUUGGUAAUUAGGAGAAUUAUGUGUACACAGUUGUUUUAUGUUUAUAUCUCAGAUAUGGCCAUGUGUUUUGUUAAAAUUAUUAAACUUUGUUCCAUUUGAGUUAAGUGGAAUAAAAUAAUGUACUUAAAUACACACAUCAUUAAAAAUCUGAAUGCUUGCUUGGUGAAUACCUGUUUAGCAUAAGACCCAUAAAAGAGACUUGAAAAUAAAUACAAACGCUAUAAUAGCCCACACAGUUUUAAUCCAACUCUCAUCUAACCCAGAGCACGUGAAAUGAGCAUUGCUUUCCAAAUCAUUUGUGUAGAUUCUUUCCUUACAUAAUAAGUAAAUAGUAAAAAUGAUCUAAUAGAUUUCAAAAAUUUGAGUGGCACAUAAAAAUCACCAAGUCAUAACAAAUAUCGACAUUGUAGCCUUUUUACCCCAAUGAUUGCAAAAUGCUCACCAUUUCUACAUCCUAUUCACGUCAUUGAAAUUCAGCCACCUCUAAAAUGUUCAACCAGCAUAUUAAUAAGGCUUCCCAGAACGAGGAAACUCUGCCUGCCUACAUAUAUCUUGAUAAAUUUGGCCAUACUGCCCAUAACACAUCUUCAAGAGAAAGAUAGUUACAAAUAAAACAGUCCUUUCCUGUGGGUGUCGGUUAACCCCACACACAUGUGAACUUCCUAUGGGCAUACACCCAACAGACACUGGCGAUUAGGUGAUUGAAAAUGUGGCCCACAAAGGCGAAAUUUUAUAUGUGAUGACAUCACCAGCAAACCUGGGUUUCUCCGUGAUAGAACGAGAUACGUGCCUGGCUGAGUGUCUCUUGAACGAGUGAGAGAGAGAGAGAGAGAGAUGCUUAAAGAACAGCAUCAUCAGACACGAUAGAACCUUCUGCAAGCUUUGCAAGAAUCGUUCACAGACCUUUGACAUUUUCCAGAUUUCAUACAGCUUCAGUUCAUCCAAAAAUGCAUUUCCCGCACAAGCAAAUCCUGUUUUGUUGCGUUAGCACGCUGUUCAUCCUAACAUAUCCCGGUGGGUCGUUGGAGAUGUGAUUUCUGUACCCAAUGAGGCGCAUGCAGCUGUACACUAUGCGGAGGGAGUUGCAGCCCACCUCCCCCCCGCCACAACCUCCGGGGACUUGCAUUUGAACGGAGAAGACGUCUCCGUUUUCGAGGCAACGAAAGGGUUAAAAAUUGAGGCUGUCUGGGGUAAGAGAAAGGGGAUAUUGUUGUCUUUAAUCUUUCCGCAGUAUGUGUAAGACUUCCAUCCCGGAUCUGCACAGAGCAGGGGGAUAGGCCAGGCAGGGAUUGCGUGCAGGCUCCUUGAUUGUAGAGGGGGACCUGGCUGGAGUCCAGACAGGCUGGGGCUCUGUUGAUCAUUAUGUCUGGUCUUCAGGUGUCUGGGCACACAGUGGGCCGUGGUGGGGGAGGUGUGGAUAACAGGAGAGCAGACAAAGAAAAAAAAAAUGGUGUAUUUAAAAAAGAUUAUGCGAAGAUGUGUGUCCAAGCCCUCUUUAAAAAAAAAAAAAAAAAA